GUCUUGGGAACUGUUGCCAAGCAUUGAAGUCAUGGAAAUGAGGCUUUUGACCAGUUUCCUCUUGAUCUUCCCUGCAGGUGUUUUUUCUCAGAGCCUUGUGGAGACCGGUGGUGGAGUGAAAAGCCCAGGAGGGACUCUACAGCUGACCUGUGUUUCGUCGCAGGCCCUUGUUGAGUCCGGCGGUGGCAUCAAAAGACCAGGAGAAAGUCUGAAACUGACCUGCACAGUAUCUGGGUUUUCUCUGUCAAGCUACGAAGUGCUCUGGGUUCGUCAGCCACCAGGAAAGGGGCUGGAGUUUCUUGCACUUAUCCGAGCUGCUGGAAGCACUGAGUAUAACAGCGCUCUUCGAAAUCGGAUCAGUAUCACGAAAGACAACUCCAAGGAGCAGGUGUUCCUUCAGGUGAAUGGCCUGAAGCCGGAAGACACUUGCAUCUAUUACUGUUCAAGAAACACA